CUCUCUAGUUCUCGUUCUCCGCCUAUCUCCCUCUCUUCAAAGCAUAGAUCCUUCUUUGCCACUCUUGCCACAACCACUGAUGCUGAGACACAAUUGAACCAGAAAUUCGAAUUCAACCUCAUCCCUUCUGAUUCGGUAAUAUUAUUUGAGGAAUUAUCUUCUAAUUUGUUUUUUCUUGGUGUUGUUUCGUCAUUUUUUCCCGCAAAUUCCAGUCUUAUCUAUUCUCCAUUAGUUCUCCCAUUGUUUAGGGUUUCUUUUUGUCAUUUCUAUGUUCAAUUUCAUCACUAAUUGCUUAUAUUGUUGGAGGAUUUUUUGUAAUUGGAGCUAGUCAAAGAAGUAUGCUGGCUUGGUUUUGUUUAUUUAUUCUUUAUUGGCACUGGUGACUCGGUCAGCAAGAGAAGCAGAAAUUUGGUGGUGGAUUAAUUGGAGAAGGAUGAGGAAGAAAGCAUUGAUGAAUGCAGAGAUAAUGGCGGUGCUUUUGUGAAGAAGCACGGGGUGGUCAGAAAAAGGUGAGAUUUGUAGGGGAAAAGGGAAGAACUGUUUGGAAAGGAUUGGUGAAUGAUGAGUAGAAAUCAGAGCAAGACGGAGGAGAAAAUGGAAAGCGAGCCUCUAAGAAAAAGUGAGAAUGGGGUGUAGUUUAAAGGUAGAAGAUGAAGUGGGGCAUUUUGAUGACAUCGAUACAGAGAAAGGUUUGCGAAGAAGCAAGAAAGUGGGUUAUUUUCUUGGGGUCAUAAAGGAUCAUACGAAGCAGGAAGAAAGAAAAGUAAAUAAGCAGUCCAAGAAAUCUAUUCCAGAGUUUGCCGACUUGUCAAUGUCGUUGGCUCUUUCCAAGAAGUGGCCACUACACUUAAGCACCAAAAACACUAUUAUGAAAAAAUAGUGAAGUACGAUGGCAGGU